GAUGUGAUUACCCGCUGAACUUAAGCAUAUUAUUUAGCGGAGGAAAAGAAACUAACUAGGAUUCUUAGAGUAACGGCGAGUGAAUUAGGAAAAGCCCAGCGCUGAAUCUUACGAUAUUGUAUCGUUAAGAGAUGUGGCGUAUAGGUAUGGUUUUCGAUUUGUUUCAUAUAUCUAAAGUUCCUUUGAUAGGGACCAAUAUCCGAAGAGGGUGCAAGACCUGUACGGAUAAUGAAACAACGUGUAUAACUAUACUUUGGAGUCGGGUUGCUUGAAAAUGCAGCCUUAAGUUGGUGAUAAACUUCAUCUAA
rnacentral:rRNA from 1 species